rnacentral:rRNA from 1 species
GGCGAACGCUGGCGGCGUGCUUAACACAUGCAAGUCGAGCGGAAAGGCCCUUCGGGGUACUCGAGCGGCGAACGGGUGAGUAACACGUGAGUAACCUGCCCCAGACUUUGGGAUAACCCUCGGAAACGGGGGCUAAUACCGGAUACGACACAGCUUCGCAUGGGGUCUGUGUGGAAAGUUUUUCGGUUUGGGAUGGGCUCGCGGCCUAUCAGCUUGUUGGUGGGGUGAUGGCCUACCAAGGCGACGACGGGUAGCCGGCCUGAGAGGGCGACCGGCCACACUGGGACUGAGACACGGCCCAGACUCCUACGGGAGGCAGCAGUGGGGAAUAUUGCACAAUGGGCGGAAGCCUGAUGCAGCGACGCCGCGUGAGGGAUGACGGCCUUCGGGUUGUAAACCUCUUUCAGCAGGGACGAAGCGUAAGUGACGGUACCUGCAGAAGAAGCGCCGGCCAACUACGUG